GGAGAUAGAGAAGACCAGAACUCAGGUGAAAUCCAGGAACACUCUGAUAAGUUAGAACAAAACGAGGAUGACAAAUCCUCUGAAUUUAGUGAUGAUGGUACAGCAGAUGAUGACCAUCCAAGGGAUUGGUUAUCCCGCUUCUGGCCUGGUGGUAGACGAAUAUUUGCAGCCCUUGGGCUGAAUAGAUGUUCCAUACUAUAGAAUCAUAGAUUAUGAAGAGA
rnacentral:misc_RNA from 1 species